GACGUAGGGCGCGAGCGUUGUCCGGAUUUAUUGGGCGUAAAGAGCUCGUAGGCGGCUCGUUGCGUCGGCUGUGAAAACCCGCAGCUCAACUGUGGGCUUGCAGCUGAUACGGGCGGGCUUGGAUUCGGUAGGGGAGACUGGAAUUCCUGGUGUAGCGGUGAAAUGCGCAGAUAUCAGGAGGAACACCGGUGGCGAAGGCGGGUCUCUGGCUCGAUACUGACGCUGAGGUGCGAAAGCGUGGGGAGCAAACAGG
rnacentral:rRNA from 1 species